rnacentral:rRNA from 1 species
GAUGAACGCUAGCUACAGGCUUAACACAUGCAAGUCGAGGGGAAACGGCGGAGAGUGCUUGCACUCUUUGGACGUCGACCGGCGCACGGGUGUGUAACGCGUAUCCAACCUUCCCAUUACUGUGGGAUAACCUGCCGAAAGGCAGACUAAUACCGCAUGGUCUUCGAUGACGGCAUCAGAUUUGAAGUAAAGAUUUAUCGGUAAUGGAUGGGGAUGCGUCUGAUUAGCUUGUUGGCGGGGUAACGGCCCACCAAGGCAACGAUCAGUAGGGGUUCUGAGAGGAAGGUCCCCCACAUUGGAACUGAGACACGGUCCAAACUCCUACGGGAGGCAGCAGUGAGGAAUAUUGGUCAAUGGACGUAAGUCUGAACCAGCCAAGUAGCGUGCAGGAUGACGGCCCUAUGGGUUGUAAACUGCUUUUUUAUGGGAAUAAAGUGAGGGACGUGUCCCUUUUUGCAGGACCAUACGAAUAAGGACCG